GCCGCCGCCUGGCUCCAUCCCCCAUCGCGCCGCCGCCGCCCGGCUCCAUCCCCCAUCACGCCGCCCCGUCGCCCGUAUCCCUCCCCCCAGCGCGCUGCCUCUGCCCGUCUCCCUCCCCCAGCGCGCGGCUGCCGUCCAUCUCCCAUUUCCUAGCGCUCAGCACGGUCGGGCCGCGACCUCCGCCUCCAGUUCCGACCCGCUCCUCCACGUGCGCCGGCCACCUUCCCCUCCUUCGCCACGGCCGCCUUCCUCUCCCGCCGCCACGCCCCCAGCCACCUCCUUCCCUCUCCACCACGCGCCGGCGACGAGCCCGUCCCCCAGCGUCGCCAACCUCCCCCGCUGCAGUACGAGCUGCAUCAGCAGGGAAGGCUGCUGCUUCAGCAGUAGCAGCGCUCCGCUGCUGAUGCUACAAGGGGAGGCGGAGGUGGGGUGAGGCACUGCGACGGUCGCAUUCCGGGGAAGGCUGUCAAAGCUUAAGAAAGCGGAAAAACAGUGAGCCUAGGAGGGGAGUCGCUGGAUCGAGGACCUCUAGCUCGAUAGUCCAACUACAUGCUCCACCGUUGGUCGCUCAAGGAGCUGCGUGCAGGCCACCCCGAGCUCCGCCCCUGGACCUGGGUCAACUUUCUCCCUAUCAUCUAGGGUCUUUGGGUUAGAAGUGGUUAAUUGGUUAGCCCCUGGAGCUUGUCAGCGAGCCAGGCACUGGGCCAACCACAAGGCAACGCCACCAGGUAGGGUGCCAGACGGCUGCCGAGCAUGGCAUGAGCCUUUCCGACCCCAUUUCCAGGUUAAGCGCCAAUGAUCUCAUCGUCGGGUUCGCAAAAGCACUAGCGCCUCUGCUUCCAUUUUUCUUCAAAAGUUCUGCUAACCAAUUAGCCACUGAUAAGAUGACUUUACUUCCAACUAGCCACUCAAAAGUUGUGGCCAUUUAAUGACACCUACAUUUGAGACAUGUGAAACUGUAACCUUCCAAUGUUACCGUUUGGUAGCUCAGCAUGCUUCAUGUUUUGGAGAUCUACAGAGUGACUAUCUGAGAGCUGUGUUGGACUUUCUCAUUGCAGCAUGGAACUUCUCUAAAAAUCCCAGUUGAUUUUUAAUGUUUGUUCCUCAUCAGUUCUAAAAAUCUCAGCAUCCAUCCAACUAUGUAUCAGGAUAUACUAUGUUGUAAAUUUAUGUAUGCUUGUAUGUGCAAAAAUAUAUUACGGUUGCAGCUUC